ACAGUCUCGAUUUCGGGGUUUUUUUUCCCCCGUAAAAUUCAAAGACGGGGACAUUGUCCCUGUUUGGCGCCAUUUCCGGGCGAGGCACGAGCGUCUGUGUUCCGCAGAAAAUCGAAAUAUUCGAAAAAAAAAAAAAAAAAAUUGUGGCGCACUGUUAUACUCGUCUUCAAGUCCGACAAUAACCGAUGGAUUCGCUCCGACGUAAUAUACUUAAAUCGAAAAUUUGCCGAUAAAAAAAAACGUCAAUUUGCGCGAUACGCGUCGUACGUUCG